GUCCGGCUGACGAGUCCUAAAUGGGACGAAAUGCGCGUCCUGUGU
rnacentral:hammerhead_ribozyme from 1 species